CUGAGAUGAGAGUAAUAGUAGGCAUAGAGACGGUGAGGGUGGUAGUAGAUUGACUGUUGCAAUGGUAAUGGGGUGAUGGUAAUAGUAUGAGCUGUAGUUGUGAUAGAGGCGGAGGCGACGGUGAUGGUGGUGGUGGUGGUAGCCGAGGCGGUCAGGGAUGACGGUGAUAGUAAGUGAUGCGAAAGACAGUAUUGAUGGCGGUGGCGUCAGAAGUCUGAAUGGUUUGUAUAUGGUAGUUGUGGUGGCGAUGGUGGUGGUGGUCUUGAAAGAGAGAAAGAGAAAGAGGUUAGACAGAAAAGAUAAUUGUACUGACCCCCGAAUGGGAAGA